rnacentral:sRNA from 1 species
GCCGGGCAUAGUGGUGCAUGCCUGUAAUCCCAGUGGCUCAGGAGGCUGAGGCAGGAGGAUGCGAGUUCAAAGCCAGCCUCAG